rnacentral:rRNA from 1 species
CCUACGGGUGGCAGCAGUGAGGAAUAUUGGUCAAUGGACGAGAGUCUGAACCAGCCAAGUAGCGUGAAGGAUGACUGCCCUAUGGGUUGUAAACUUCUUUUAUAUGGGAAUAACAUGUUCCACGUGUGGGAUUUUGUAUGUACCAUAUGAAUAAGGAUCGGCUAACUCCGUGCCAGCAGCCGCGGUAAUACGGAGGAUCCGAGCGUUAUCCGGAUUUAUUGGGUUUAAAGGGAGCGUAGGUGGAAUGUUAAGUCAGUUGUGAAAGUUUGCGGCUCAACCGUAAAAUUGCAGUUGACACUGGCAGUCUUGAGUACAGGAGAGGUGGGCGGAAUUCGUGGUGUAGCGGUGAAAUGCUUAGAUAUCACGAAGAACUCCGAUUGCGAAGGCAGUUCACUGGACUGCAACAGACACUGAGGCUCGAAAGUGUGGGUAUCAAACAGGAUUAGAUACCCUUGUAGUC